GACGUGAACCGAUGAGGUGGAAACGGACAGAGUCGGCGUAUCUAGNCCUGUAUUCAACUGNGAGACCCAAGCACAUUGGGUAGGCCUUUUCCAGAUUGGACAGGYGAUCCAACUGUKUGGGAGUCUACAGUGCAUUUGCAAGUGGAGUGCGCUGAGGUGGUCGGGUUAGCUGCKUGAUCUCGGGUUUGAGGCCAGCCCCUCGGGGUAUGGUACCCGGCUCGGGGGAGUGCUGUUUAGCCUGUUCAACUUGUAUGGAAAUGGUAUCGGGUCCGGCUGGUAUCCAGCUAACAACUGGUGGCGGUCGCAUGCGACACGUACUAGUGGUUGGUUGGGUCCUGGUCUGGCUCCCAUGUUUUCCAAUCCUCGGUGUAAAAACCGGUCAUCUGUCCGACCCGUCUUGAAACACGGACCAAGGAGUUUAGCGUGUGCGCGAGUCAUUGGGUGUUGGAAACCCAAAGGCGCAAUGAAAGUGAAGGUCUCUCUUGUGGAGCUGAUGUGUGACCCGGGUCACCGAGGUGGCCCGGAGCAACAUGGUCCCGUCCUGAUCGCUUGCGAUGGGGCGGAGACAGAGCGUACGCGCUGAGACCCGAAAGAUGGUGAACUAUUCCUGAGCAGGACGAAGCCAGAGGAAACUCUGGUGGAAGUCCGAAGCGAUUCUGACGUGCAAAUCGAUCUGUCUGACUUGGGUA
rnacentral:rRNA from 1 species